rnacentral:rRNA from 1 species
AACGAACGUUGGCGGCGUGGAUUAGGCAUGCAAGUCGAACGCGAAUCCCUGGGCAACUGGGGAGGAGAGUGGCGAAAGGGGCAGUAAGGCGUGGGUAACCUACCCUCCGGGCCGGGAUAGCUUCGGGAAACUGAAGGUAAUACCGGGCGACGCAGCGAGAUCGCAUGGUCUUGCUGCCAAAGGUCCGCCGCCGGGGGAGGGGCUCACGUGGUAUUAGCUAGACGGCGGGGUAACGGCCCACCGUGGCAAAGAUGCCUAGCAGGUGUGAGAGCACGACCUGCGCCACUGGCACUGAGACACUGGCCAGACACCUACGGGUGGCUGCAGUCGGGGAUCUUCGGCAAUGGGCGCAAGCCUGACCGAGCGACGCCGCGUGUGCGAUGAAGGCCUUCGGGUUGUAAAGCACUGUCGAGGGGGAGGAAGCCGCAAGGUUGACCUAUCCCUGGAGGAAGCACGGGCUAAGUUCGUG